GCGAAAGCACCUCAAGACGACGGAUCCGACAGUGAGGGACGAAAGCUAGGGUCUCGAACCGGAUUAGAUACCCGGGUAGUCCUAGCCGUAAACGAUGUUCGCUAGAUGUGGCACAGGCUACGUGCCUGUGCUGUGUCGUAGGGAAGCCGAGAAGCGAACCGCCUGGGAAGUACGUCCGCAAGGAUGAAACUUAAAGGAAUUGGCGGGGGAGCACUACAACCGGAGGAGCCUGCGGUUUAAUUGGACUCAACGCCGGACAUCUCACCAGCUCCGACUACAGUGAUGACGAUCAGGUUGACGACCUCGUCACGAUGCUGUAGAGAGGAGGUGCAUGGCCGCCGUCAGCUCGUACCGUGAGGCGUCCUGUUAAGUCAGGCAACGAGCGAGACCCGCGCACCUACUUGCCAGCAGCAGUUUCGACUGGCUGGGUACAGUAUGUGGACUGCCAGGGGCAACCUGGAGGAAGGAACGGGCAACGGUAGGUCAGUAUGCCCCGAAUGAGCUGGGCGACACGCGGGCUACAAUGGUCGAGACAAUGGGUUGCCACCUCGAAAGAGGGCGCUAAUC
rnacentral:rRNA from 1 species